rnacentral:rRNA from 1 species
GACGAACGCUGGCGGCGUGCUUAACACAUGCAAGUCGAACGGUAAGGCCCUUCGGGGUACACGAGUGGCGAACGGGUGAGUAACACGUGGGUGAUCUGCCCUGCACUUCGGGAUAAGCCUGGGAAACUGGGUCUAAUACCGGAUAGGACCACUGCCUGCAUGGGUGGUGGUGGAAAGCUUUUGCGGUGUGGGAUGGGCCCGCGGCCUAUCAGCUUGUUGGUGGGGUGAUGGCCUACCAAGGCGACGACGGGUAGCCGGCCUGAGAGGGUGACCGGCCACACGGGGGCUGUGUUACGGCCCGGACUCCUACGGGAGGCAGCAGUGGGGAAUAUUGCACAAUGGGCGCAAGCAUGAUGCAGCGACGCCGCGUGAGGGAUGACGGCCUUCGGGUUGUAAACCUCUUUCAGCACCGACGAAGCGCAAGUGACGGUAGGUGCAGAAGAAGGACCGGCCAACUACGUGCCAGCAGCCGCCGUAAUAC